rnacentral:rRNA from 1 species
ACCUACGGGACGCAGCAGUGAGGAAUAUUGGUCAAUGGGCGGGAGCCUGAACCAGCCAAGUCGCGUGAGGGAAGACGGUCCUAUGGAUUGUAAACCUCUUUAGGCGGGGAGCAAUGCCGGGCACGCGUGCCCGGAGGGAGAGUACCCGCAGAAUAAGCAUCGGCUAACUCCGUGCCAGCAGCCGCGGUAAUACGGAAGAUGCGAGCGUUAUCCGGAUUUAUUGGGUUUAAAGGGUGCGUAGGCGGAUCUUUAAGUCGGCGGUAAAAUGUCCGGGCUCAAACCGGGGCGGCCGGUGA